GACGAACGCUGGCGGCGCGCCUCAUACAUGCAAGUCGAGCGUGAAGCGGGACUUCGGUCCCGUGGAAAGCGGCGAACGGGUGCGUAACACGUGAGCAACCUGCCCCGAAGACUGGGAUAACCCGAGGAAACUCGGGCUAAUACCGGAUGUCCUCUACCGACCGCAUGACUGGAAGAGGAAAUGUUCAGGCGCUUCGGGAUGGGCUCGCGGUCUAUCAGCUUGUUGGUGGGGUAACGGCCUACCAAGGCGACGACGGAUAGCUGGUCUGAGAGGACGAUCAGCCACACUGGGACUGAGACACGGCCCAGACUCCUACGGGAGGCAGCAGUAGGGAAUCUUGCGCAAUGGGGGAAACCCUGACGCAGCGACGCCGCGUGCGGGAUGAAGGCCUUCGGGUUGUAAACCGCUUUCAGCAGGGACGAAAUUGACGGUACCUGCAGAAGAAGGCCCGGCCAACUACGUGCCAGCAGCCGCGGUA
rnacentral:rRNA from 1 species